AAGACCACAUCACAGAGAAACUGUUAUCUGAAAGUACACUGGUGACAAAAAAAGCUUUCAGUACAUAUCUUAGCAAGAUCUUGUAUGUGCUCAAAUAGCCACCUUCUUUUGUGACCACUGGAGUUAAUAGUCUAAUUGUGUGCCUAUGAAAUAUUAUCACAGACUUAAGGCCAGUAGAGCCAGGCCUCAGCAUGGUCUUUCUAGGGAACUACUUCCUCUUCAGGAGACAUGUACUACAAGCUAUGGCUCAUAUUUAUCAGCAGGAAUCAGAGCAAAAACAAACAAAAAACAUGUGUGAGGAUGGAGCGUGGAGAUGCUCAACAAGAAGGGGCAGAAUAUAGAGCUGAGUAGGGUUGGGAAGAUACAUCUGUUUCUUCUCCCUCAUUUGAUAUGAUCCAGUAAAAUCCAAGCUUUGGAGACGCUUGCCUGGAACAUCAAUGAUUACUUGAUUUCUCAGCACAUAAAUCUAACUCCAGUCCUUGUUGGGCAUAUAUUAGU